rnacentral:rRNA from 1 species
CCUACGUGGUGCAGCAGUGAGGAAUAUUGGUCAAUGGACGAGAGUCUGAACCAGCCAAGUAGCGUGAAGGAUGACUGCCCUAUGGGUUGUAAACGUCUUUUAUAUGGGACUAAAAUGUUCCACGUGUGGGAUUUUGUAUGUACCAUAUGAAUACGGAUCGGCUAACUCCGUGCCAGCAGCCGCGGUAAUACGGAGGAUCCGAGCGUUAUCCGGAUUUAUUGGGUUUAAAGGGAGCGUAGGUUGAUUGUUAAGUCAGAUGUGAACGUUUGCGGCUCAACCGUAAAAUUGCAGUUGAAACUGGCAGUCUUGAGGACAGUAGAGGUGGGCGGAAUUCGUGGUGUAGCGGGGAAAUGCUUAGAUAUCACGAAGAACUCCGAUUGCGAAGGCAGCUCACUGGACUGCAACUGACACUGAGGCUCGAAAGUGUGGGUAUCAAACAGGAUUAGAUACCCCUGUAGUC